AUGCAGCCGGACCCUAAAGGCCCCGGGAGGGAGAAGGCGCACGCUCGGCUGCCGCCGCCGGUGACGGCGCCGUCGGUGGGGCGGCCGGCGUCGGUGCUGCCGCACAAGACGGCGAACGUGCGCGACCACUACCGCAUCGGGAAGAAGCUGGGACAGGGGCAGUUCGGCACGACGUACCUGUGCGUGGACAAGGAGGACGGCGGCGAGUACGCGUGCAAGUCCAUCCCCAAGCGCAAGCUGCUGUGCCGCGAGGAUUACGAGGAUGUCUGGCGCGAGAUCCAGAUCAUGCAUCACCUGUCGGAGCACCCCAAUGUGGUUCGCAUCCGCGGCGCCUACGAGGACGCCCUCUUCGUGCACCUGGUCAUGGAGCUCUGCGCCGGCGGCGAGCUCUUCGACCGCAUCGUGGCCAAGGGGCACUACAGCGAGCGUGCCGCUGCCCAACUCAUCAGGACGAUCGUGGGGGUGGUAGAGGGGUGCCACUCGCUCGGUGUCAUGCAUCGGGACCUCAAGCCGGAGAACUUCCUCUUCGCGAGCACGGCCGAGGACGCCCCACUCAAGGCCACGGACUUUGGGCUUUCCGUCUUCUACAAGCCUGGAGAUAAAUUUGCAGAUGUUGUUGGGAGUCCCUAUUAUGUUGCACCUGAGGUGCUUCUAAAAUGCUAUGGCCCAGAAGCUGAUGUCUGGAGUGCCGGAGUAAUUCUGUACAUUUUGCUGUGUGGUGUACCUCCGUUUUGGGCAGGUAGAUUAUUUACUGUUCGAACCAUUGAACUGCUAGGUCUAGAUCUAUUAUCAUUUGCCAACAUUACCAUGUUUGAGUGGAUAAAAUCUGUUCUUCUCCUCUCAGAAAGCGAAACAGGAAUUUUCAAGCAGGUUUUGCGAGGUAAGCUUGACUUGGAAACUGAACCAUGGCCUAGUAUCUCUGAUAGUGCUAAAGAUCUAGUUCGUAAGAUGCUUAUCCGUGAUCCUACAAAGAGAGAGACUGCUCAUGAGGUUCUGUGUCAUCCAUGGAUUGUUGAUGAUUCUGUUGCACCUGACAAACCUAUUGAUUCUGCUGUUUUGUCAAGGCUGAAACACUUUUCUGCAAUGAACAAGCUGAAGAAGAUGGCAUUGAGGGGACCAAGCGUGUUUGUGUUCUUGCAGGUCAUUGCUGAAAGUCUAUCUGAGGAGGAGAUCGGUGGCUUAAAAGAAUUGUUUAAAAUGAUUGAUACUGACAAUAGUGGGACAAUAACUUAUGAAGAACUGAAGGAUGGCUUGAAAAGGGUGGGAUCCGAUCUAAUGGAACCUGAAAUCCAGUCUUUGAUGGAUGCGGCUGAUAUUGACAACAGCGGAUCCAUCGACUAUGGUGAAUUCUUAGCAGCUACAUUGCAUGUGAAUAAACUGGAGAGGGAGGAAAAUUUGGUGUCAGCAUUCGCAUUCUUUGAUAAAGAUGGAAGUGGCUUUAUAACGAUUGAUGAGCUCUCGCAAGCAUGCGAGAAAUUUGGCCUUUCUGACGUUCAUCUUGAGGAUAUGAUCAAGGAUGUGGAUCAAAAUAAUGAUGGACAAAUUGAUUACAGUGAGUUUGCGGCUAUGAUGAGAAAGGGUAAUGCUGGUGGCUCCAGUGGGACCAGUGGGGCUGUUGGGGCAGGAAGGAGAACCAUGAGGAACAGCCUGCAUGUGAAUCUGGGCGAAAUAUUGAGGCCCGGUGGAUCCACCUAA
rnacentral:rRNA from 1 species